AGUUUAGGACCCUGGGUUGGUGGGGUCAGGAGGAGCUGGGGGCAACUUGCUUCGGGACAGCUGGGCCUGCUGGGGUGCUGGGCGCCUUGUGUGUGGCCCCCAGAACAGUGAGUUCCUCCCCGGGGGUAGGGAGCCGAGGGCUGCGGGCAGGAGGAGUGGCCACUGCAGCACCCAGGCUGCAGUGUACGCCCGGAGAGGGAUCCCGCGGCUGCGAGGGGCCGAGGCCCAGCGUCUCCCCGCCGCACCGGCCACCGCGCCGCCCUCGCCUCCCUCGCCUGCCGGGUCCCUUAAAGGAGCUUGUUGAUCUGGCCUCCUGGAACUUCAUCCCACAGUGCACCCAGCGUCUGCCCCUUGCCAACGGUUCUUAAAGCUAAGCUGCAGGCAGUGCGUUUUCUUUGGAAGAUUUUCUAAUCUAAAGCAUGGCCCCAUCCUAAGCCCCUCUGCUUCUAGGACAGUGCAAACAGCCCUUCUCUGUGGCGUGACAUCUAAGGGACAGCCUUGUAAUACCAUUUCUGGCCUGUAGACCGUUUGCUUAACCGACUGAGCCACCCAGGUGCCCUUCCCUGUGUACCAUUUGCUACCGUUUUGCUGAGCCAGUGUUGGGGGCCCCUACUACCAGAGUUAAGAGUUUCUUAGCAGGGAAAAUGGUGCACGGGUUUCUGUUCCCCAGCCUCUUACUUCGUUUGUAAAGACCUUGGUGGAAAUCUGUAACUCAGACAGCAAAACAUACUACUCCAUUUGAACAAUUUUUCCUUUUAGGUGUAUGGGGUGCCCCCCUCCCCUACUCAAACGCUAGGGCUAUUUGUAAUUCAGACUAGUUUCACCUCUUCCUGUAACAAAUCCCUGGUUGCUGAGGACGCUUAGAGAAUGCUCCUCUGUUUGGUAUCCUGUCUAGAGAUAUAAAUCUAAAAAAAAAAAAAAAACAAACACCGUGUUUUCCAAAAUAAAGGUCCUCUUUGAGAUUGUGGUUUGGGAUCACACCUAGCUCUGCUUCCUGCUCUAGUUUUAUUGUAAUAGGAUUUUUGACCCCUAACUUGGCUGUGCCCACCACUGAUGGAGCAAGAGCAAAAACUGUUGGUCUCAGAUUCUAGUGGCUUCACGGAGAGGGAGAGUUUGAAAAGCCCUUUUCCAGGAGAUGCAAGUAAGAAUCAUUUGGAAACUGUACAACACAAUAACUCCAAGGCGGAUAAAGAGAGCGCCUCAAAACGGUCUAAGAGAGAUGGACCACAAAAUUGUAAGCAUGAGGAUAUAGAAGAAAGUCCAUUGAUGUGGUCCCAAGGCAAUGAGAUCUGGUGCAGUGAUUCCUAUGAGAAGGAUGGCAAGUCGGAGAAUCAGGGAAAUUCUGCAGGAGAAGAAGAAGAAAAACCCAGUCACUGGGGAUGGGCUCCCGGGGAACGCCGCAGUGCCUCUGUCCAGCAGAAUUCGACCUCCAGGGACAAACCCUACAAGUGUGCUGAAUGUUGGAAAAGCUUCAAUAACAGCUCUCAUUUGCGUAUUCACCAGAGGACCCACUCAGGAGAAAAACCUUAUAAAUGCUCUGAGUGUGGGAAAUGCUUCAGUAACAGCUCUCACCUGAUUCAGCACCUGAGAACACACACAGGAGAGAAGCCCUACCAGUGUGGCAAGUGUGGGAAAAGCUUCAGCAAUACCUCCCAUCUAAUCAUUCACGAGAGGACUCACACGGGAGAGAAACCCUAUAAAUGUCCCGAGUGUGGGAAGAGCUUUAGUAGCAGCUCCCACCUUAUUCAGCACCACAGGUCGCAUACCGGCGAGAAGCCCUACGAAUGUCCCGUGUGUGGGAAAUGCUUCAGCCACAGCUAUGUCCUCAUAGAACAUCAGAGGAUUCACACGGGAGAAAAACCUUAUAUGUGUCCUGACUGUGGAAAGAGUUUUAGUCAGAGUUCUAGCCUGAUUCGCCACCAGCGGACACACACGGGAGAGAAGCCCUACAAAUGUCUCGAGUGCGGGAAAAGCUUUGGUUGUAAUUCGACUCUCAUAAAGCACCAGAGGAUUCACACAGGAGAAAAACCGUAUCAGUGUACAGAAUGCGGCAAGAGCUUCAGUCGAAGUUCGAACCUAAUCGCACACCGGAAAACACACGCAGGAGAGAAGCCCUGUGAAAGUCCCGAAUAUGAAGAAAGUUUGAGUCGGAACUGCAGUGCGAUAGAAGAGUGUGGACUCCAGCCUGGGGAGAAACCCUACAAGUGUUGUGAGUGCGGAAAGCGUUUCGGUCUCAGCUCCCAUCUCAUUAGACACCAGAGAACACACACAGGAGAGAAGCCGUACAGGUGUUCGGAGUGUUGGAAAACUUUCAGUCAGAGUUCCACCCUGGUGAUUCACCAGAGGACGCACACGGGAGAGAGACCUUAUAAGUGUCCCGACUGUGGCGAAGGCUUCAGCCAGAGCUUUAAUCUCAUCAGGCACCGGAGGACUCACGUGGGCGAGAAACCUUACAAAUGCACCGACUGUGACAAGUGCUUCAGCAGAAGUGCCUAUCUCACUCAGCAUCGGAAGAUGCACCUAGAAAAGUCUUUCGAGUCUCCUGAAGUCAAUGAUUUUCCUCCUGGGUGGACUUGGAAAAACUGUCCAGGGGAAAUGACGCUCAUCUCUUCCUUUUCAGUCCCACGUCCAUCUUCCUCUUGAGUCCCAAAGCCCGUUUAUUAUUACUAUUAUUAUUAUUAUUAUUAUUAUUUCUUUUCUUGCUGGAUCAUUACAAUUAAGGUGUUGCUACAGAGUUUUUUUGGUUUGUUUGCCAUAAUAUCUGGAAAAAGUCAAGCUCCCAGGUUGGAGGAUGGGAAGGCCCUGAUCACCAGCUCAUUGUAUCUGCCCAGUGGGAGAUGCUUCCAACGAUGGAGAAGAAAUGUUUUUUGAUUUAAGUUGAGAGUCACUUUGGGAUGAGUGAUUCUAAGAACUGUUUGGAUUUUUCCUCGCGCGGCCUCAGGCCUGAUUCCAGUAGAGGGCGCUGGAAGCUGCUCGGAGACCCAGGGAUGUGGCCUGAGGCCCAGAGCCUGGGAGAACCCAGAGGAAAACUGGUUGAUGAACCGGCUGGCUACUUAGCUCAGUGUCUCCUGUCACCUGGUUCAGACAAUGAAGUGCACCCCAAAUCUAGGAGACGAAGGUAAAUUCAGGUUUGGUAAAUGGAGAAGUAUCUUUGUGUUUGUAAAAUUGAUGCUGAGGAAAAAACACAUUGGAAACUUAGGAAGAUACCAAGUUAUACUGCUCAGAAGACUAGAAUCCUCAUCUUUCCCAUCCUGCUGUCAUCACUAAUUCAGUGAAAAACUUGUCAGCUGCAAGGAUUGAUGUUUUACUAAGGGAAAAAAACAGCCAUACUGCGGGGGUUGGGGGAUGUAAGGUGUGGUCAUUGCCAUUACCAGAGGUUAUACCUGGUUACUCCUAAUUCUUCAGACCUCAGCUUAAACGUAACCUCCUCUGGUAGGCACUCCUUGACCCCUAGGCCAGUUUAUAACUUGCUACCCUCCAGUGCCACAUGUACUUGCUCGUUUUUGGACACGUAUCACAUCCUUAAUUACCUGUAUGCUGCUGUCUUCUCUGUUAAACUCCGAACCCCCAAAUGACAAGUACUAUGUCUGUUCAGUGCUUUACUCUCAACACCAAGCACAGUGCCUGACACAAAGUAGACACUUGAUCCCCAUGUAUUACAUUGAAUUACAUUGAUGUAUACUCCUUUUAAGUUUAUUUUGAGAGAGAAAGAGUGCAAGCAGGGGAAGGGCAGAAAGAGUG